rnacentral:rRNA from 1 species
AACGAACGCUGGCGGCGUGCCUAACACAUGCAAGUCGCACGAGAAAUCCUGGGCAACUGGGAAAGUAAAGUGGCGCACGGGUGAGUAACGCGUGGUAACCUACCCUCAGGUGGGGGAUAACUUCGCGAAAGCGGGGCUAAUACCGAAUAACAUAUCGAUUCCCACGGGAGUCGAUAUCAAAGGUGGCCUCUGCAUGCAAGCUACUGCCUGAAGAUGGGCCCGCGUACCAUUAGCUAGUUGGCAGGGUAAUGGCCUACCAAGGCAACGAUGGUUAGCUGGUCUGAGAGGAUGACCAGCCACACUGGAACUGAGACACGGUCCAGACUCCUACGGGAGGCAGCAGUGGGGAAUCUUGCGCAAUGGGGGAAACCCUGACGCAGCAACGCCGCGUGGGUGAUGAAGGCCUUCGGGUCGUAAAGCCCUGUCAGGUGGAAAGAAUCAUAUCGAUUCGAAUAGGGUCGAUAUCUGACGGUACCACCGGAGGAAGCACCGGCUAACUCCGUGCCAGCAGCCGCGGUAA